rnacentral:rRNA from 1 species
GAUCCCUGGCUUAGAACUAACGCUGGCAGUGCGUCUUAAGCAUGCAAGUCAAACGGGAUGUAGCAAUACAUUCAGUGGCGAACGGGUGAGUAACGCGUGGAUGAUCUACCUAUGAGAUGGGGAUAACUAUUAGAAAUAGUAGCUAAUACCGAAUAAGGUCAGUUAAUUUGUUAAUUGAUGAAAGGAAGCCUUUAAAGCUUCGCUUGUAGAUGAGUCUGCGUCUUAUUAGCUAGUUGGUAGGGUAAAUGCCUACCAAGGCAAUGAUAAGUAACCGGCCUGAGAGGGUGAACGGUCACACUGGAACUGAGAUACGGUCCAGACUCCUACGGGAGGCAGCAGCUAAGAAUCUUCCGCAAUGGGCGAAAGCCUGACGGAGCGACACUGCGUGAAUGAAGAAGGUCGAAAGAUUGUAAAAUUCUUUUAUAAAUGAGGAAUAAGCUUUGUAGGAAAUGACAAAGUGAUGACGUUAAUUUAUGAAUAAGCCCCGGCUAAUUACGUGCCAGCAGCCGCGGUAAUACGUAAGGGGCGAGCGUUGUUCGGGAUUAUUGGGCGUAU